AUUGAACGCUGGCGGCAGGCCUAACACAUGCAAGUCGAGCGGAGCGGCGGACGGGUGAGUAAUGCCUAGGAAUCUGCCUGGUAGUGGGGGAUCACGUCCGGAAACGGGCACUAAUACCGCAUACUAUCAGAUGAGCCCAGGUCGGAUUAGCUAGUUGGGGUGGUAAAGGCCUCCCAAGGCGACGAUCCGUAACUGGUCUGAGAGGAUGACCAGUCAAACUGGAACUGAGACACGGUCCAGACUCCGACGGGAGGCAGCAGUGGGGAAUAUUGGACAAUGGGCGAAAGCCUGAUGCAGACAUGCCGCGUGUGUGAAGAAGGUCUUCGGAUUGUAAAGCACUUUAAGUUGGGAGGCGUUACCAACAGAAUAAGCACCGGCUAACUUCGUGCCAGCAGCCGCGGUAAUUC
rnacentral:rRNA from 1 species